CAGGGAUUGCCCUAGUAACGGCGAGUGAAGCGGCAUCAGCUCAAAUUUGAAAUCUGGCUCUUUCAGAGUCCGAGUUGUAAUUUGCAGAGGGCGCUUUGGCGUUGGCAGCGGUCCAAGUUCCUUGGAACAGGACGUCACAGAGGGUGAGAAUCCCGUACGUGGUCGCUGGCCUUCGCCGUGUAAAGCCCCUUCGACGAGUCGAGUUGUUUGGGAAUGCAGCUCUAAAUGGGAGGUAAAUUUCUUCUAAAGCUAAAUACUGGCCAGAGACCGAUAGCGCACAAGUAGAGUGAUCGAAAGAUGAAAAGCACUUUGGAAAGAGAGUCAAACAGCACGUGAAAUUGUUGAAAGGGAAGCGCUUGCAGCCAGACUUGCCUGUAGUUGCUCAUCCGGGCUUUUGCCCGGUGCAUUCUUCUAUAGGCAGGCCAGCAUCAGUUUGGGCGGUUGGAUAAAGGUCUCUGUCACGUACCUCCUCUCGGGGAGGCCUUAUAGGGGAGACGACAUGCAACCAGCCUGGACUGAGGUCCGCGCAUCUGCUAGGAUGCUGGCGUAAUGGCUGUAAGCGGCCCGUCUUGAAACACGGACCAAGGAGUCUAACAUCUAUGCGAGUGUUUGGGUGUCAAGCCCGAGCGCGUAAUGAAAGUGAACGGAGGUGGGAUCCCUUAAGGGUGCACCAUCGACCGAUCCUGAUGUCUUCGGAUGGAUUUGAGUAAGAGCAUGGCUGUUGGGACCCGAAAGAUGGUGAACUAUGCUUGAAUAGGGUGAAGCCAGAGGAAACUCUGGUGGAGGCUCGCAGCGGUUCUGACGUGCAAAUCGAUCGUCAAAUUUGGGCAUAGGGGCGAAAGACUAAU
rnacentral:rRNA from 1 species